UACGGAAGGUCCGGGCGUUAUCCAGAUUUAUUGGGUUUAAAGGGAGCGCAGGCGGGUGGUUAAGCGUGACGUGAAAUGUACCGGCUCAACCGGUGACUUGCGUCGCGAACUGGCCGUCUUGAGUGAGUACGAGGAGGGCGGAAUUCGUGGUGUAGCGGUGAAAUGCUUAGAUAUCACGAAGAACUCCGAUUGCGAAGGCAGCCUUCCAGUCCUUAACUGACGCUAAGGCUCGAAAGUGCGGGUAUCGAAC
rnacentral:rRNA from 1 species